CCGUAGAUAUUAAAAUGGAUCAUUACAAUGUUGGAGGCAACUUAUAAAAAAUGAGAAGGGCUGAACAAAAACGGCACCGAAAAGGAGAUCAUGUACUGCAGAUUACAAGCUGGACGUAGUGAAAUAUGCAGCAGAAAAGGACAAGAGGAAGCGGCGCAUACCUUUGGAGUUGGCAGCGUUGUUUAGAAGCGACAUCGAGGAAGAAGAUUUCAUGGGAUUUAUCGAUUAGGAGUGACGGAUUGUUUGGUAAACAUAUAGCAUGUUUUAUAUGUUAUAGUUAUUUGAAUGACUCUUACCAUAAUAUGUUAGUUAACAUAGCAGGCACCUUCUCAGUUGUUAUUUAUGCCUCAUAUAACGUACACUUAUUCAGCCUGUUGUUUACUAUUCUUUAUUUAUUUUAAAUUGCCUUUCAAAUGUCUAUUCUUGGUGUUGGAUUUUAUCAAAUAAAUUUCCCCCAAAAAUGUGACUUAUACUCCAGUGCGACGCAUAUGUUUUUUUCCUUCUUUGUUAUGCAUUUUCGGCAGGUGCGACUUGUAAUCCGAAAAAUACGGUACAAGUUUCAGUUGUGUUAAUAUUACAAAUAUGUUAUUUUCGGUUAAAGUAGCAAUGAUUGUCACACACACACACACACACACACACACACACACACACACACACACACACACACACACACACACACACACUAGGUGUGGUGAGAUUAUCCUCUUGCAUUUGACUCAUCACCCUUGAUCCCCUCCUGGGAGGUGAGGGGAGCAGUGAGCAGCAGCGCCCGGGUAUCAUUUUUGGUGAUUUAACCCCCAAUUCCAAUUUUUAUAGUCUUCGGUAUGACUCCAACAAAUUUAUUCCUGUGAAAGUUGUUAUUUCCCACAACAUUGAACUUCUCAUGUCAAAGAGGUCUCCUUGUGAUGUAUUAGUGUAAGAUAAUGACCAUUUUGUUUAGCUAUUAGUACAAAAUGAUUAAAACUAGGGCUGGACUUUCAAUCACAUUUUAAAUGACAUCUCAAUUAUGGCUUCUCACGAUCAUGAAAAUAUAAUAAUCUAAGGAAAAAAAACGACAAAUGCUUGUGACGGUAACACAGAUGAGUGAGCGUGUUUUAGGCGAUACGGCCUUUUAUUAAUAUCUCGAUAUUUUCAGGCCAUGUCACGAUACAUGAUUCAUAUCUCCAUAUUUUGCCUUAGCCUUGAAUGAAUACUUGAUGCAUAUAAUCACAGCAAUAUGAUGAUUCUAUGUGUCUACAUUAAAACAUUCUUCUUCAUACUGCAUUAAUACAUGCUUAUUUUAAACUUUCAUUCAGAGGGAAAUCACAACUAAAAGUGUAUUUAUUAAACAGUUAAGCAGUGGCAGAAACAUUCAUGUAAUUUCCAAAACAGAAAGUGCAAGAUUGUCAGAGACAUUUUAAAACGAGCUAUUAGUGCACUUUUGUGCAUGAUGUCACUAAGAUGACAUAUCAAAAAAAGCACGAAAUUAAAGUAAAAUUUUUGUACAGAACGCCACUACAAUAGUUUAAAACAAAUAAAGUGCACUUUUGUGCAUGAUGUCACUAAGAUGACAUAUCAAAAAAGCACAAAAUUAAAGUACAAUUUUUGUCCCGAACGCCACUACAAUAGUUUAAAACAAAUAAAGUGCACUUUUGUGCAUGAUGUCACUAAGAUGACAUAUCAAAAAAGCACGAAAUUAAAGUACAAUUUUUGUACAGAACGCCACUACAAUAGUUAAAAACAAAUGAAGUGCACUUUUGUGCAUGAUGUCACUAAGAUGACAUAUCAAAAAAAGCACGAAAUUAAAGUACAAUUUUUGUACAGAACGCCAUUACAAUAGUUUAAAACAAAUAAAGUGCACUUUUGUGCAUGAUGUCACUAAGAUGACAUAUCAAAAAAGCACGAAAUUAAAGUACAAUUUUUGUACAGAACGCCACUACAAUAGUUAAAAACAAAUGAAGUGCACUUUUGUGCAUGAUGUCACUAAGAUGACAUAUCAAAAAAGCACGAAAUUAAAGUACAAUUUUUGUCCAGAACGCCACUACAAUAGUUAAAAACAAAUGAAGUGCACUUUUGUGCAUGAUGUCACUAAGAUGACAUAUCAAAAAAAGCACGAAAUUAAAGUACAAUUUUUGUCCAGAACGCCACUACAAUAGUUUAAAACAAAAAAAGUGCACUUUUGUGCAUGAUGUCACACAAGAUAUUUCAGUAAGUGUCAAAUAAAAAUGAGCUGCAUAAUAGGAAAUCAAAUAGUGUUUGUCCUUCACUAUGUGGUUGACUAUUUUUUCAUACGGUGUUGAUCUGGAAAUAGUUGCUUCGGCAUUUUGUUGGUGUGGCGCCGAACGGAGAGGUUGACAUGCGGAGUUUCAAGCACUUCUUAUUCUGUAGCAGGUGACUUUUAAAUUUUUCUACCUUAGCGGUGCUGAUACUUUUUGUAGCAACGCUUUUGCCGCAUAAUUGCUCAACAUCUUCCCGCUUGAAGCCGAACCACCGCCAGACAAUGCUGUUUUUCUUGGGAAUUCUUCUUUCAUUUGUUACCAGAUUCGCACCUUUUCUCUCCCGCACCGACAUGGCCAUGUUAGCAUCACAGCUAACAUGGCCAUGUCGCUACCUGUCUGCACGCGUGACGUUUGUAAGAAGGUGCGCUUGUUUUAAGUCUCUGUGAGAAGGAGAGAGAAGAAAGAGUGUAAUGCCCAGAGCUAAAAGCAACUGCGUGAGAACGUAUACUCCAAUAUCACGAUAUAGUCAUUUUCUGUAUCGCACAGAGACAAACCCGAGAUAUAUGGAGUACAUCGAUAUAUCGCUCAGCCCUGGCGUGUUUGCUACUUUUUAUUUGACACAUGGCUCGUCGGCCUAAUCAAUAACCACCGAACUCAACAAAAAAAGCAAGACGUGAUUUCACGUAACCUGAGACGGAAUCCGCUGUUAAAACGCAGAAUGUUAGAGGAAUUGACAUAAAUGUUGUCUUGGCGAGGAGAAGGAAUGUUUAUUUAGGAAGAUAACGUGUCCCGGAAUUCUCAUUUAGCCCCAAAACACGUUUUUAAAUGUGAACAUUAUCGCAAUUUCAGAAGGGUUAAAACCAAUAAAAAUCAGUUCCCAGUGGCUUAUUUUAUUUUUCAAAAUUUUUUUCAAAAUUUUACCCGUCCCGGAAUUUCCCUAAAAAAAGCUUUAAAGUGCUUGAUUUUCGCUAUUUGCUUAAGCCACUGUCCAUUUCCCUGUGACGUCACAUAGCGAUUCCAAUACAAACAAUGGCGAAUACCACAGCAAGAUAUAGCGACAUUAGCUUGGAUUCAAACUCGGAUUUCAGCGGCUUAAGCGAUUCAACAGAUUACGCAUGUAUUGAAACAGAUGGUCGGAGUAUGGAGGCAGAUAGCGAAAACGAAAUUGAAGAAGAAACUGAAGCUAUUGAGCGAAUAGCUAUAGACGCUGUUCGGCCAUCUUUGCGUUAGCAUCGCCGGUAAAAUGUGCAAACCAACCGAUCAGGACUUUCGCAUUGACACUGGAUCAACUUAAAUCCGUCGAUUGGUAAGUGUUUGUUUCGCAUUAAAUGUGGGUGGAAGGAAACGCUGGAUGUAAAUAAAGUUUCAAAUGUACAUACAGGUAGCCUAAAUAGCAUGUUAGCAUCGAUUAGCUGGCAGUCAUGCCGCGACCAAAUAUAUCUGAUUAGCACAUAAGUCAAUAACAACAACAACAUUCACUUUUGUGAUUUCGUUGACUUUAUCGUUGGGAAUGCAUCUGCUUUGAGUGUCCAUGAAUUGAUUAACUACCAUGAAUUGAUUAACGUGGACCCCGACUUAAACAAGUUGAAAAACUUAUUUGGGUGUUACCAUUUAGUGGUCAAUUGUACGGAAUAUGUACUGUACUGUGCAAUCUACUAAUAAAAGUAUCAAUCAAUCAAUCAAAGGAUAUCCAGACAUUCUUGCCAUCUCUGUGCCAUGUCUGUCGUAGCAUCGCCGGUAAAAACCAAACGAAGCACUUUCGCAUCUCUUGACACUGGGGUAACUUAAAUCUGUUGAUUGGUAAGUGUUUGUUUGACAUUAAAUGUGGAUGGAGGGAAAGGCUAGAUGUAAAUAUAGCUACAAACGAGGCAUAAUGCUGCAAUAUGUACACACAGCUAGCCUUAAUAGCAUGUUAGCAUCGAUUAGCAUGCCGUGCUAAUCGAUGCACAUUCCACAUAAAUCAACUUGAAUCCGUCCAUGAUCAUGUUGUUACACCCUCCGACAAGGCAUGAUGUCUCCAAGGUAUCGGAAAACAGUGGAAAAAACGGAAAAUAACAGAGCUGAUUUGACUCGAUGUGUAGGGAAAAAUGGCGUUGAGUACCGAUGUGACGUCACGUUCUGACGUCGUCGCUCAGAGAGAGAUAAACAGAAAGGCGUUUAACUCGCCAAAAUUCACCCAUUUAGAGUUCAGAUAUCGGUUAAAAAUAUAUAUGGUCUUUUUUUCUGCACCAUCAAGGUAUAUAUUGAUGCUUACAUAGGUCUGCUGAUAAUGUUCCCAUUUAAAAAAGGAUGUCAAACUGAGCUUGGUAGAAUAAAUACUUUAUUCAAUAAUCGUGUAAUUAAUCGUGAUUAUAAUACUAAUCAAAAUAAUCAUGACUAUUGUUUUUCCAUAAUUGUCCAGCCCUGCUUUAAACCUUUUUUUCUUUGUUGUAUACAAGCUUUACAUGACAAAUGUAAUAUAGUAAAAUUACAGCUUUCUUGUAAUAUAAUCACUUUACUUUUUAAACUGUUUUGUAUUACAUAUUAAUUUCUGUAAAAUCAAAACAUUUUUAUAUGUAUUUUUUUUUGUAAAAUGUAUUUCUAUAAAAUCAAAACAUUUCCGUUUGUAAAUUUUAUUUUUGGCAAAACAAAUCAAAACCUUUUUUAAAUCACA